CGGCGUCUUCGCGGAGGCGUCCAGCCGCAGCAAGGCCAUGGGAGCGGCACUGCUCGGCCCCAACGACCACCGCAGCCACCCAAAGGCAGUAGAUGUGCAUGGCUGCAAACUGGGAGCUCCUGCAGCUUCACUGGUGUUCCUGCGGAGACACCCGAAGACAUGGAGUUUGUGGGCGUGCUUGCCCCAAGGACCUCUGGGGCCAUGCAAAGGUUCUUUUCGACAUAUCUAUCUUGCUGCUCGCACAUGGACCGUGAUUGUUUGAAGCAUGAUUGUCUGGUAAUGGCUCUGUUAAGCUCGGCAUCCUCAUGGCAACAAGCUGGACUGCAGCGCUGCCUCCCUCUUGUCGUGACUGCGAUUGUAAGGUGAGGUUGAUGAAUCGUGAGUUGAAGCUGGUGUUAUGGUGGCGAUUAGGGCGACACUUUCUUGAUGGACAGAUUUGGACUGUUAUUAGCUCGUAGUGCUGAUGCGUGUUCAGUCUGCUGGGUCAGUCAGUGUCCCAUCAUUGGUCUGCUGCUUGUGUUUUGUCCUAUUUCUUUUGUAUGUUUAUACAAAACUUGUACCAAGGUUUGUGACAGUGGAAGGCCUCUGUCUGUCUUUAGAUAAAAAUGAAGUCCGUCUAGAGUCUUUAUCAUUAGGGAAACUGUAACCUCCUAUAUUUCUCUUGAUAUUACUAUGUGUGUUGGCUUGAGAGUAGAAGCUUUUUUUACAUUGGAUGGAGCUGUGU